CGCCUCUUGAAGCAAUAUAAGAGGUCCAGCCUGCCCAGUGAACUUUAUUCAACGGCCGCGGUAUCCUAACCGUGCGAAGGUAGCGUAAUCACUUGUUCUUUAAAUAAGGACUAGUAUGAAUGGCACCACGAGGGUUAUACUGUCUCCUUUUUUAAAUCAGUGAAACUAAUCUCCCCGUGAAGAAGCGAGGAUUUAUUUAUAAGACGAGAAGACCCUAUGGAGCUUUAAACAACCAACACCUGCUACACCCAUAAUAAGCCUAACAAGAAGUAUAGCAUUAUGAUUUAUAGUUUUCGAUUGGGGUGAUCACGGAGCAAAAACCAACCUCCAUGCCGAAUGGGUUUAUACCCUUAGCAAAAAGCCACAACUUUAUGCACUAAAAUAUUAACGUACUUUGACCCAAUAUUUUGAUCAACGAACCAAGUUACCCUAGGGAUAACAGCGCAAUCUACUUCAAGAGCUCCUAUCGACAAGUGGGUUUACGACCUCGAUGUUGGAUCAGGGUAUCCUAGUGGUGCAGCCGCUACUAAAGGUUCGUUUGUUCAACGAUUAAAACCCU
rnacentral:rRNA from 1 species